CCAAACUUGGUCAUUUAGAGGAAGUAAAAGUCGUAACAAGGUCUCCGUAGGUGAGUUGCAACGGAACCCCUCUUCUGGCAAUCACGAUCAAUACUAACAACACAAUAGGUGAACCUGCGGAGGGAUCAUUACCGAGUGAGGGCCUCCGGCCCGACCUCCAACCCUUUGUUCAUUUACCUGUUUCCUCGGGGGUGACCCGGCCUCCGGGUCGGGGCCCCCGGUGGACCUUCGAACUCGUGCAUGUGAGCGUCGGAGUACAUGAAAAAUUUGAAAACUUUCAACAACGGAUCUCUUGGUUCUGGCAUCGAUGAAGAACGCAGC
rnacentral:misc_RNA from 1 species